rnacentral:rRNA from 1 species
UACGUAGGGGGCGAGCGUUAACCGGAUUUACUGGGCGUAAAGGGGGCGUAGGCGGCCGUGAAAGUCCGGUGUGAAAACUCACGGCUCAACCGUGGGACUGCGCUGGAAACUACACGGCUUGAGGACGGUAGAGGGAGACGGAACUGCUGGUGUAGGGGUGAAAUCCGUAGAUAUCAGCAGGAACGCCGGUGGAGAAGUCGGUCUCCUGGGCCGUUCCUGACGCUGAGGCCCGAAAGCUAGGGGAGCAAACCGG